UCCCCUAGUAACUGCGAGUGAAGCGGGAAAAGCUCAAAUUUAAAAUCUGGCGGUCUCCGGCCGUCCGAGUUGUAAUCUAGAGAAGUGUUAUCCGCGCUGGACCGUGUACAAGUCUCCUGGAAUGGAGCGUCAUAGAGGGUGAGAAUCCCGUCUUUGACACGGACUGCCAGGGCUUUGUGAUGCGCUCUCAAAGAGUCGAGUUGUUUGGGAAUGCAGCUCAAAAUGGGUGGUAAAUUCCAUCUAAAGCUAAAUAUUGGCGAGAGACCGAUAGCGAACAAGUACCGUGAGGGAAAGAUGAAAAGAACUUUGGAAAGAGAGUUAAACAGUACGUGAAAUUGCUGAAAGGGAAACGCUUGAAGUCAGUCGCGUUGGCCGGGGAUCAACCUUGCUUUUGCUGGGCGUACUUUCCGGUUGAUGGGUCAGCAUCAAUUUUGAUUGUUGGAUAAAGUCUUGGGGAAUGURGCAUCUUAGGAUGUGUUAUAGCCCUUGGUCGCAUACAACRGUUGGGAUUGAGGAACUCAGCACGCCGCAAGGCCGGGUAUUUAUACCACGUUCGUGCUUAGGAUGCUGGCAUAAUGGCUUUAAUCGACCCGUCUUGAAACACGGACCAAGGAGUCUAACAUGCCUGCGAGUGUUUGGGUGGAAAACCCGAACGCGCAAUGAAAGUGAAAGUUGAGAUCCCUGUCGUAGGGAGCAUCGACGCCCGGACCAGACCUUUUGUGACGGAUCCGCGGUAGAGCAUGUAUGUUGGGACCCGAAAGAUGGUGAACUAUGCCUGAAUAGGGUGAAGCCAGAGGAAACUCUGGUGGAGGCUCGUAGCGAUUCUGACGUGCAAAUCGAUCGUCAAAUUUGGGUAUAGGGGCGAAAGACUAAUCGAAYCAUCUAGUAGCUGGUUCCUGCCGAGUUU
rnacentral:rRNA from 1 species